GCCGUGGUGGCGGAAUUGGUAUACGCGUACGCUUCAGAAGCGUAUGGAGCAAUCCUUGGGAGUUCAAAUCUCCCCCACGGCA
rnacentral:tRNA from 1 species